UACGGAGGGUGCAAGCGUUAUCCGGAAUUACUGGGUUUAAAGGGUGCGUAGGCGGCUUAGUAAGUCAGGGGUGAAAGGUCACGGCUCAACCGUGGAAUUGCCUUUGAUACUGCUGAGCUUGAAUCAGGAUGAGGUUGGCAGAAUGUGGCAUGUAGCGGUGAAAUGCAUAGAUAUGCCAUAGAACACCGAUUGCGAAGGCAGCUGGCUAGACCUUGAUUGACGCUGAGGCACGAAAGCGUGGGGAGCGAACAGG
rnacentral:rRNA from 1 species